CCUACGGGAGGCAGCAGUGGGGAAUAUUGGGCAAUGGGCGCAAGCCUGACCCAGCAACGCCGCGUGAGGGAAGAAGGCUCUCGGGUUGUAAACUUCUUUUAUCAGGGACGAAGCAAGUGACGGUACCUGAUGAAUAAGCCACGGCUAACUACGUGCCAGCCGCCGCGGUAAUACGUAGGUGGCAAGCGUUAUCCGGAUUUACUGGGUGUAAAGGGCGUGUAGGCGGGAAAGCAAGGCAGAGGUGAAAACCCUGGGGUCAACCUGUGGCCUUCAUUUGAAACUGGUUUUCUUGAGUACUGGAGAGGCAGACGGAAUUCCUAGUUGAGCGGUGAAAUGCGUAGAUAUUAGGAGGAACACCAGUGGCGAAGGCGGUCUGCUGGACAGCAACUGACGCUGAGGCGCGAAAGCGUGGGGAGCAAACAGGAUUAGAUACCCGUGUAGGC
rnacentral:rRNA from 1 species